GGGAGGCAGCAGUGAGGAAUAUUGCCCAAUGGGGGAAACCCUGAGGCAGCAACGCCGCGUGAGGGAUGAAGGCCUUCGGGUCGUAAACCUCUUUUCUGAGGGACGAGAGAGGACGGUACCUCAGGAAUAAGUCUCGGCUAACUACGUGCCAGCAGCCGCGGUAAAACGUAGGAGGCGAGCGUUAUCCGGAUUUACUGGGCGUAAAGCGCGCGCAGGCGGCUCGACAAGUUGGACGUGAAAGCUCCUGGCUUAACUGGGAGAGGCCGUUCGAGACUGCCGGGCUUGAGGUUGGGAGAGGGGUGUGGAAUUCCCGGUGUAGUGGUGGAAUGCGUAGAUAUCGGGAGGAACACCAGUGGCGAAGGCGGCACCCUGGCCCACACCUGACGCUGAGGUGCGAAAGCGUGGGGAGCAAACAGGAUUAGAUACCCGCGU
rnacentral:rRNA from 1 species